rnacentral:rRNA from 1 species
CGCCUUGCCAGCCCGCUCAGAACUUAAAGGAAGUUGACGGGGCCCGCACAAGCGGUGGAGCAUGUGGUUAAUUCGAUGAUACGCGAGGAACCUUACCUGGGCUCGAACGUAAGAUGACUGUAGGUGAAAGCUUACAUCUCUUCGGAGCAUUUUACGAGGUGCUGCAUGGUUGUCGUCAGCUCGUGCCGUGAGGUGUCGGGUUAAGUCCCAUAACGAGCGCAACCCCUACCUUUAGUUGCCAUCAGGUAAUGCUGGGGACUCUAAAGGAACUGCCUACGCAAGUAGUGAGGAAGGCGGGGAUGACGUCAAAUCAGCACGGCCCUUACGUCCAGGGCUACACACGUGCUACAAUGGCCGAUACAGAGGGCAGCUACCUGGUGACAGGAUGCAAAUCUCCAAAGUCGGUCUCAGUUCGGAUCGGAGUCUGCAACCCGACUCCGUGAAGUUGGAUUCGCUAGUAAUCGCGCAUCAGCCAUGGCGCGGUGAAUACGUUCCCGGGCCUU